UAGGGAAUAUUGCGCAAUGGGCGAAAGCCUGACGCAGCAACGCCGCGUGAGUGAUGAAGGAUUUCGGUUCGUAAAGCUCUGUUGCAGGGGAAAAAGCAAGUGAUUGUACCCUGCCAGAAAGGGACGGCCAACUUCGUGCCAGCAGCCGCGGUAAUACGAAGGUCCCUAGCGUUGUUCGGAAUCAUUGGGCGUAAAGCGCAUGUAGGUGGCUUUGUAAGUCAGGUGUGAAAUCCCAGGGCUCAACCCUGGA
rnacentral:rRNA from 1 species